UGGCUAAAUUAAAAUGACUGGCAAG
rnacentral:piRNA from 1 species